UUGCACCACUGCACUCCAGCCUGGGCGAUACAGUGAGACCCAGUCUCAAAAAAAAAAAAAAAAGAGUCUUUUUUGAUGGUGGACAUCUUCCAAUGAGCAUUCACAUGGGACAGAUUUUUUUUUAGUUCUACCGUUGUUCUGAAAGCUCUAUGUAUGUUCCUCUUCCCUAAAAAUCUUUGUCACCAAGCCUCCAGAUUUAUUCCUUCUAAAAUGUUGAAAUUCCAGCUAAUUCCUUAGUUGUUACCCAGGAAACAAUGCAGAUCCUGGUCCGAGGAUGCAGCUCCUUCCAGGCAGCCUGGACUGUGAGGUGUGCUCCAUUGCUCUUCAGGAACCGUCCUUGAGAGGCGUUCCACAGCAGGCCAGACCUGGGGGGAGCAGGUGGGCCAGGCGGAAAGCACAGCACAAUUUGAGAGAUGCUGAGUACUCAUGACUCUGUGUAAGCACCUGAAUUCAGCCCUCAUGGUCUUUUCUGAGCUGUCAGUCAUUUAUCUCUAUUUAGUCAUUUUGCGAAUUGGAGUUAGCUUCCUUCCCUCUACACUCAAAGACGGCAUGUCAACAUUUUAGGCCUCUGGGUGGAAUGAACUCCCAGUUUCCUGGGAGGGAGCUGAUUGGCAUCUAUUCGCCUCUUCCUAGUUUUGUGGGGUUUCCCAGCAUGUGGAGUCAUAGAGAAAGACUGGUCCCACCUUCUAUGUAAUGCCCAAGAGAAUAGAUGACUCUCUGUCCACCCCCACCCUGGCAUCCAGGGCUUCUGGACAAGACCUAGGCUGGCUAAUUGGCUGCUUCCACAUGGGAUCCUGAAUCUGGAGCAAGUGAGGCAAAGCCCAGGGUGCUUAGAAUCCAUUCUCAGUGAGAGCAGCAGGACUGCCCGGGAGGGGAAUAGAGACGGGGACGACCGAGUCCUGCACCAGCAGAGAUGACGUCCGCAGGUGGCGGGGCAGCGCUGUGGCCGUGUCACUCCUCACAAAGCAGGGCUCUUGUGCUCGCAGCCUUCGAUACCGUCUCACUGUCUUGGCUUCUAUUUAUCUUCCAAGCCAAUUUCCAGCCUCCUACACACGUGGGGUUCUUCUGGUAUCAUUCCAGUGAAUUUCAUGUUGUUUUCUGCCCUAAGAAAACAGAGUUGGUACCUCUGCUCGACCAAGAAGCCUGAUUGAUACAGACUGAGAGCUGCAGGCUGUGUUUAUUUGCUUCAUUAACAAGAACAACUUAGGAAUGGCAACUUCCAUUGAUGAGCUUCCUACUUUGUUCUGCGGUUGGAAAACAAACAGUUGUUUCCCUGUUGACGACUGGCCACACUGGAGAGGUGAACAGUUCACUCUCAAGGCCAUACUGACUUGAACACUGGCUGUCUAGAAACAGAGAGGCAGGCAGCGGCAGACAGGAAGAGAGAUGGAGCAGAGUCCUCCAGCGGGAGCUGCACCUCGGAAGCAUCCUUAGAUGCGGCUUGGAGUUGGGAUCCUUCAAUUCCCCUCAGGGAAACUGAGGCUCUGAGAGAGGAGUGACUUGUCCAGGGUCCUGUGAUGGGAGACUGAGCAGAGUGGGAAUGAGACUGAGUUGGAGUGGAGUUGGCCUCCACUCUGUUUACUAAGAGCUGUGUGUCCCUAGGUAAGUCACUUUCCCUCUCUGGGCCUCAGGUUUUUUACCUGAUAGAUGGGCUUAGAGUCUCUUCUGCUGAUCCCCCAGGGUUGCAGGCAGCCAGUGAGGUUCUGAGUACUGUAGAGGGGAUGCUCUCAGCAGUAGUGGCGGUGGUAGGGAGUUGGGAUUGCAAACCCAGAGGCCAGCAGAGGCCAGGCAGGAACUGGAUUGAACUGGAAACUCAAGCUGUCCACUUGGGUCCAGUCAGGAUGGAUACUGAUAGAAGUGGGGGUCUCAUGUUGCCCACCUCAUGUUUAAGAAGAUUCUAGAAUUAUAGAUUAUUUGAUGUGAAAUUUCCUUAAAUGUAAAUGUUGGUAAAUAAAGUAACUAUUUAAACGAUAUACAUGCAAACACACAUUUGCACACACACGCCUUACACACAAUGGCUGGUCAGAUUUAGUGCAUAGCCAGCCAGCUGGUUUUCUGCUUUGGAAUUAUAGGCUGCUAAUUUUUUUAUUUUUUCUAGACAUGGUCUUGCUUUGUCACCCAGGCUGGAGUGCAGUGGCGUGAACACAGCUCAUUGCAGCCUUGACCUCCUGAGCCCAAACAGUCCUCCCAUCCCAGCCCAGCCCAGCAAAUAACUGGGAUGACUGGCAUGUACCACCAAGACUCACUAAUUGUUGUAUGUUUGUAGAGACGGGGUUUCACCAUGUUGCCCAGGCUGGUCUCAAACUCCAGAGCUCAGGAAAAACAUUAACAUCUGCCAUUUUUCUAAAUUGAAUGUGAAAGAUGAUCCUGACAGGCUGAACAAAGAUGCUUGCUCUCUGUUGUGAUGUUUGACAAGGGAAUCUUCCUUCAUUUUCUCCUCUGAUGAGCCUCUCUACCAGAUAAGCAGCAGCAGGAACCAAACGUUUAAGAAAAAUGUAAAGACAUUAUUUUGUCCAUCACUUAACAUUUUUAUGAACAAGUUGGGAGGUAGCCUGCAUGAAUGCCUCUGUGCAAUGGAAUGAAUGGCCGGAGAUCUCACCAUCCCAGGAUGACUUUGGGGAAGGAAGACCCAAACAGCCCACUAUCACAUGCUGUCCUGCCUGCCUCAGGCCUCCUGUCCUUCUCUCCCUUGUGACCUGCAAACUAACCUUGAGGACUCAUGUCAACUGUCACUGCAUUGGAAGCCCUCUGUGAUAGUUAAUAUUGAGUGUCAACUUGAUUGGAUUGAAGGAUGCAAAGUAUUGUUCCUGGGUGUGUCUGUGAGGGUGUGGC
rnacentral:lncRNA from 1 species